rnacentral:piRNA from 1 species
UGUGACUGAGACAAGGCCUCUGGGAGU